rnacentral:misc_RNA from 1 species
UUUUUUUUUUUUUUUUUAUGGUUGUAAAUUGUCAUUCUUUUUUUUGUUAAUAUUUCAAUUCAAAUGAUAUCCUCAACUUACAUGAGUUUUGACAUGGAGAAAAGAUUCAUCUUACUUUCAAAGAUGGUGUUUUUUAGUAUUGUCAUCUAUACAGGCAAGGUUAGGUGAUCUUGUAGCUUUCCAAUAUUAUAUUGUAUGGCAAUUCUAGAUAAUCCUCUCAAUUGUCAACACUUUGUAACUUGCAGGAUUCUUUUUCUCCUACAGCAUU